rnacentral:rRNA from 1 species
CCUACGGGAGGCAGCAGUUAGGAAUCUUGCGCAAUGGGCGAAAGCCUGACGCAGCGACGCCUCGUGGGGGAUGAAGGCUCUCGGGUUGUAAACCCCUUUCGGCAGGAACGAAAUUGACGGUACCUGAAGAAGAAGCACCGGCCAACUACGUGCCAGCAGCCGCGGUAAUACGUAGGGUGCAAGCGUUGUCCGGAUUUAUUGGGCGUAAAGAGCUCGUAGGCGGCUUCGUAAGUCGGGUGUGAAACCUCCAGGCUCAACCUGGAGACGCCACCCGAUACUGCGAUAGCUAGAGUCUGGUAGGGGAUCACGGAAUUCCUGGUGUAGCGGUGAAAUGCGCAGAUAUCAGGAGGAACACCGAUGGCGAAGGCAGUGAUCUGGGCCAGUACUGACGCUGAGGAGCGAAAGCGUGGGGAGCAAACAGGAUUAGAUACCCUGGUAGUCCACGCCGUAAACGUUGGGCACUAGGUGUGGGUCCUUAUCAACGGGAUCCGUGCCGCAGCUACGACAAUAAGUCGCCCGCCCGUCGGGAGGUACGGUCGCGAGAACUAAACUACAAUAGAAGUUAGACGGCGUGAGACGUGCCGACGGACGACGACGAGGGAGGUAGG